CAGAGCGUGGCUAAGAUAGAAAAGCAUCUCCCUUACACUGAGAAAUCACCCGUGCGAGCCGGGUCGCCCUGA
rnacentral:tRNA from 1 species